UACACUGUCACAGAAUUUCAAUUGACACAUACACGAUUGAUAAAGAGUAAACCAAUUGAAAGAAAAUAACAAUCCAAUUGGCCGAUGAAAAAUGAGGUAUAAACCACAGGUGAUUCGUCAUUUUACACAAGUUGAUCAGUCCAGUGCUGAUCAAAAGAUUUGAUAGUACACAUGUAAGAAGAAAUACCGGAAUAACCGACACCACCAACUAUGGACAAACGCAAGGAAACUGAAUGAAUUUGCUCACUAUCAAACUAUCCUAAGCUGAUCCAAAUUCUGCCAUCCAUUUCUCAUGUUUUUCAAUGUCAGCUGCUGAGACACUCGGUUGAACUUUGGAAAUAGCUUCUACAAAGUCACACAUUGCGACAGGAUCCUUAGCAAUGUCAUCCUUGGCCAUGUUCUUAAUCUCCUCACGUGUCUUCCCAGCUAUCUUUCGCCUCAUGCCAUUCAUAGAAGCAUCUCGGCAAACAUUUGUGAGGUCGUCUCCACUAUAUCCCUCUGUUUUACGAGCUACUUCAUCAAUGUCCACAUCUGCAGCUACCUCAAUACUUUUUAAAUUGAUCUUUAUAAGCUCCUUCCGGCUCUCAAAGUUUGGUAGGGGAAUAUAUAUACGUUUUUCCAAACGUCUCCUUAAUGCCUCAUCUAUGUCCCACGGAAAGUUUGUAGCUGCUAAAACCAUAACAAUCUUCCGAGUGCCGUCUUCAUUAGUGGCAGAGUUGCUUACACCAUCUACCUGAACAAGAAGUUCAGACUUCACCCUUCGGGAUGAUUCAUGCUCUCCUGAACCCCCUCGGGCAUUACAAAG
rnacentral:misc_RNA from 1 species